UCCGGAAUUAUUGGGGCGUAGAGGGCUCGCAGGCGGUUUCUUAAGUCUGAAUGUGAAAGCCCCCGGCUCAACCGGGGAGGGUCAUUGGAAACUGGGAAACUUGAGUGCAGAAGAGGAGAGUGGAAUUCCACGUGUAGCGGUGAAAUGCGUAGAGAUGUGGAGGAACACCAGUGGCGAAGGCGACUCUCUGGUCUGUAACUGACGCUGAGGAGCGAAAGCGUGGGGAGCGAACAGGAUUAGAUACCCUGGUAGUCCACGCCGUAAACGAUGAGUGCUAAGUGUUAGGGGGUUUCCGCCCCUUAGUGCUGCAGCUAACGCAUUAAGCACUCCGCCUGGGGAGUACGGUCGCAAGACUGAAACUCAAAGGAAUUGACGGGGGCCCGCACAAGCGGUGGAGCAUGUGGUUUAAUUCGAAGCAACGCGAAGAACCUUACCAGGUCUUGACAUCCUCUGACAACCCUAGAGAUAGGGCUUUCCCUUCGGGGACAGAGUGACAGGUGGUGCAUGGUUGUCGUCAGCUCGUGUCGUGAGAUGUUGGGUUAAGUCCCGCAACGAGCGCAACCCUUGAUCUUAGUUGCCAGCAUUCAGUUGGGCACUCUAAGGUGACUGCCGGUGACAAACCGGAGGAAGGUGGGGAUGACGUCAAAUCAUCAUGCCCCUUAUGACCUGGGCUACACACGUGCUACAAUGGACAGAACAAAGGGCUGCAAGACCGCAAGGUUUAGCCAAUCCCAUAAAUCUGUUCUCAGUUCGGAUCGCAGUCUGCAACUCGACUGCGUGAAGCUGGAAUCGCUAGUAAUCGCGGAU
rnacentral:rRNA from 1 species